UGCAGUCGAACGAUGAAGCCGCUUCGGUGGUGGAUUAGUGGCGAACGGGUGAGUAACACGUGGGUAAUCUGCCCUGCACUCUGGGACAAGCCCGGGAAACUGGGUCUAAUACCGGAUAUGACCACUUCGGGCAUCCGAUGGUGGUGGAAAGCUCCGGCGGUGCAGGAUGAACCCGCGGCCUAUCAGCUUGUUGGUGGGGUAAUGGCCUACCAAGGCGACGACGGGUAGCCGGCCUGAGAGGGCGACCGGCCACACUGGGACUGAGACACGGCCCAGACUCCUACGGGAGGCAGCAGUGGGGAAUAUUGCACAAUGGGCGAAAGCCUGAUGCAGCGACGCCGCGUGAGGGAUGACGGCCUUCGGGUUGUAAACCUCUUUCAGUAGGGAAGAAGCCUUCGGGUGACGGUACCUGCAAAAGAAGCACCGGCUAACUACGUGCCAGCAGCCGCGGUAAUACGUAGGGUGCAAGCGUUGUCCGGAAUUAUUGGGCGUAAAGAGCUCGUAGGCGGUUUGUCGCGUCGAUUGUGAAAGCCCGGGGCUUAACCCCGGGUCUGCAGUCGAUACGGGCAGGCUAGAGUUCGGUAGGGGAGAUCGGAAUUCCUGGUGUAGCGGUGAAAUGCGCAGAUAUCAGGAGGAACACCGGUGGCGAAGGCGGAUCUCUGGGCCGAUACUGACGCUGAGGAGCGAAAGCGUGGGGAGCGAACAGGAUUAGAUACCCUUGGUAGUCCACGCCGUAAACGGUGGGCACUAAGGUGUGGGCAACAUUCCACCGUUGUCCGGCGCCGCAGCUAACGCAUUAAGUGGCCCCGCCUGGGGGAGUACGGGCCGCAAAGGCUAAAAACUCAAAAGGAAUUUGACGGGGGGCCCGCACAAAGCGGCCGGAGCAUGGUGGUUUAAUUCCGACGGCAACCGCGAAAGAACCUUUACCCAAGGGUUUGACAUACAACCGGGAAAAGCCCGUAAAAGAUACCGGG
rnacentral:rRNA from 1 species